GACGAACCACACAAACGUUAUUCGGAAUUACUGGGCUUAAAGGGUGCGUAGGCUGCGCAGAAAGUUGGGUGUGAAAUCCCUCGGCUCAACCGAGGAGCUGCGCCCAAUACUACUGUGCUCGAGGGAGACAGAGGUGAGCGGAACUUAGGGUGGAGCGGUGAAAUGCGUUGAUAUCCUAAGGAACACCCGUGGCGAAAGCGGCUCACUGGGUCUCUUCUGACGCUGAGGCACGAAAGCUAGGGUAGCGAACGGG
rnacentral:rRNA from 1 species